AUUGAACGCUGGCGGCAGGCCUAACACAUGCAAGUCGAGCGAGCGGCGGACGGGUGAGUAAUGUCUGGGAAACUGCCUGAUGGAGGGGGAUAACUACUGGAAACGGUAGCUAAUACCGCAUACCAUCAGAUGUGCCCAGAUGGGAUUCGCUAGUAGGUGGGGUAACGGGUCACCUAGGCGACGAUCCCUAGCUGGUCUGAGAGGAUGACCAGCCACACUGGAACUGAGACACGGUCCAGACGCCUACGGGAGGCAGCAGAGGGGAAUAUUGCACAAUGGGCGCAAGCCUGAUGCAGCCAUGCCGCGUGUAUGAAGAAGGCUUUCGGGUUGUAAAGUACGUUCAGCGGGGAGGCGUUACCCGCAGAAGAAGCACCGGCUAACUCCGUGCCAGCAGCCGCGGUAAUAC
rnacentral:rRNA from 1 species